rnacentral:lncRNA from 1 species
CAAAUUACUUUUAAGUUGCUUGACUUGUUUUCUUUUACCAACAAACAUUUUUAAACUUUCUUUUUUCUCAUUUCAGAACACAGAUAUGUAGAACUCUUCUUGAAUUCUACAGCAGGAGCAAGCGGUGGUGCUUACGGUAGCCAAAUGCUAGGAGGCAUGGGUUUGUGUAAAUAUCACUUUAGUGUCUUUUUUUAAGCUAACCUUGUAUGCCUUUUCUCUCAUUUCAGAACACAGAUAUGUAGAACUCUUCUUGAAUUCUACAGCAGGAGCAAGCGGUGGUGCUUAUGGUAGCCAAAUGAUGGGAGGCAUGGGCUUGUCAAACCAGUCCAGUUACGGUGGCCCAGCCAGCCAGCAGCUGAGUGGUGGUUAUGGAGGUGGCUAUGGUGGCCAGAGCAGCAUGAGCGGAUAUGGUAGCCAAGGAGCAGUGAACAGCAGCUACUACAGUAGCGGAAGCCGUGCAUCUAUGGGCGUGAAUGGAAUGGGAGGGAUGUCUAGCAUGUCUAGUAUGAGUGGUGGAUGGGGAAUGUAAUUGAUUUUGAUCACUGACUCUUGGUCAAAAAGAAAUUUUUUUAAAACCCUUCAGUUUAACAGUUUUUGCAAUCCAGCCUUGUGGUUUUAAUGCCUGCUCUCUUAAGUGAACUUUGGCAUCGAUCGCUCAAAGAAGGUUCAAUGUUGAACA